GGUUUCCCUGCGUAAACCAUCUGGAAGCUUCUCCAAAGCGCCGUCCUUCUUGCUGACAACUCAUGGUCAGCUAAAGCUGUCAAUCAUCCAAGAACAGGAAGGUCUUGCUGUAAGUGUUUUGGAAGCACGGGGUAUGUUGCAUGGGCACCGGGGGUCAUGUGACUCCUAUGUAAAGGUUGGCAUGUUACCAGACAGCAACCACAGAGAGCGGCAGAAGACGGCAAUAGUCCGUCAGUGUAAAAAUCCUGUCUUCCUACACACCUUUUACUU